rnacentral:rRNA from 1 species
UACAGAGGGUGCAAGCGUUAAUCGGAAUUACUGGGCGUAAAGCGCGCGUAGGCGGCUUUGCAAGUCGGGUGUGAAAUCCCCAGGCUUAACCUGGGAACUGCAUUCGAGACUGCAUUGCUAGAGUAUGGGAGAGGGAAGUGGAAUUUCCGGUGUAGCGGUGAAAUGCGUAGAUAUCGGAAGGAACAUCAGUGGCGAAAGCGACUUCCUGGACCAAUACUGACGCUCAUGUGCGAAAGCGUGGGGAGCAAACAGG